rnacentral:rRNA from 1 species
UAUGUGAUCGUCUCUCGCAUAUCAAUAAGCGGAGGAAAAGAAACUAACAAGGAUUCCCCUAGUAACGGCGAGUGAAGCGGGAAGAGCUCAAAUUUGAAAUCUUAAAGGGUUUCCCUUUACGAAUUGUAGUUUAAAGAAGUGUUUUCUGUUGAGGUUUUGGUAAAAGUUCUUUGGAAUAGGACAUCAUAGAGGGUGAGAAUCCCGUAUUUGACCUUUACUUUCAACUUUGUGAUACACUUUCAAAGAGUCGGAUUGUUUGGGAAUGCAGUCCAAAAUGGGUGGUAAAUUUCAUCUAAAGCUAAAUAUUGGCGAGAGACCGAUAGCGAACAAGUACCGUGAGGGAAAGAUGAAAAGAACUUUGAAAAGAGAGUUAAACAGUACGUGAAAUUGUCAAAAGGGAAGCGUUUGACACCAGUGUUGUUUUUCUGAAAAUCAAUUAAAGAACUGUUUAUGCUAAGUUGUUUAGACUUUAUCAGCUAACUGUUUAGUUUUGAGCUUUUCUUUAAUGCACUUUUCAGUUAACAAGUCAACAUCAAUUUCUUUUGCUGUAAAAAAGCUUGAGGAAGGUGGCUUGAGAUUCGUCUUAAGUGUUUAUAGCCUCUUGCCUAUGCAGUCGGAGAGAUAGAGGUCUGCAGCGUAGAUCCUUCGGGGCUAAAUGCAUUUGUGCUAAGUUAUAGCAUUUUAUAGACAACUUGUUGACUAUGAUUUGUCUUGUAGCUUACUCGCUUAUGUUAUUUUACCUACGCUUAGGAUGUUGACACACGCGCGUCAACAUCCUAAGCGUAGGUAGCGGUCGUUCAGUUCCGCAGUCUUUUCCUCCGCUUAUUGAUAUGCGAGAGACGAUCACAUAAGUCAUUCUUUCUAGCUUUGUGAUACACUUUCAACGAGUCGGAUUGUUUGGGAAUGCAGUCCAAAAUGGGUGGUAAAUUUCAUCUAAAGCUAAAUAUUGGCGAGAGACCGAUAGCGAACAAGUACCGUGAGGGAAAGAUGAAAAGAACUUUGAAAAGAGAGUCAAACAGUACGUGAAAUUGUCAAAAGGGAAGCGUUUGACACCAGUGUUGUUUUUCCGAAAAUCAAUUACGAAUGUUUUGUUUUUAAGAAGUUAUGACUUCAUCGGCUUGCUUCUUUCUUUACGAAACUUUCUUAAUGCACUUUUCGGUUAACAAGUCAACAUCAAUUUCUUUUGUUGUAAAAGGGUACGAGGAAGGUGGCUUUCUUUUCGGAGAAAGUGUUUAUAGCCUUGUACCUCUGCAAUCGGAGAGAUUGAGGUCUGCAGCGUAGAUCCUUCGGGGUUAGAUACAUUUGUGCUAAGUUAUAGCCUUGUAUAGACAACUUGUUGACUAUGCUCAGUCAUGUAGCUUACUCGCUGAUGCUAUUUUACCUACGCUUAGGAUGUUGAAGAUAUGCGCGACACG